rnacentral:misc_RNA from 1 species
UGUGGGAGCGGGCUUGCCCGCGAUAGCGUCGGUACAUUCAGUAUCAAUGUGACUGAAAGGCCGCCAUCGCGGGCAAGCCCGCUCCCACA